CCCAAUCCUUACUAAUAAAUGCAAGCACCUAGCAGUAUGAAAAAGAAAACAUAUAUGCAUACACGAAUCUUGACAAUCUCCACCGUAUAUGAUCAUGAAACCCAAAUCCAAAAAAAACCUUUGCAAUUAGCAAAUCGGUUGAAAUUCUACAAUUCUUCAAUCACUAUCAAUACUAACAAGCAUCCCAAUUAGAUUAUUAUUAUUUUUUAAAACUAAAGUACAUAUUUUUUAAAACUAAAGUACAUAUCAAGAAACAGAAUGUCCCAGUCUGGAAUCCUAUAUGCCGGUUUGGAUCGUUUAGUGGGUACUUCGCAUUUCUAUAAAGAAUGGAAAACUAUUGAAAUAAUUAUAUAUGCAUUAUUUAAAUUUCUGCAAAACAAUUAAUUAAAAUAUUUCUAAAAAUAUUCUUAUAAAUAUUAAAUUGGAUCCGACCUGGUUUAUCAUUUAAUAUAAAGGGGUUAAUAUAAAGAACAGUUCGGUGAUUGUAAACUUUAUUGAAAAAACAAUAAUUAAAUCCAAAUAAUAUUUGUUCAUGUAUCUGUCGUUUUUUUAAACACCUACCUUUUUUAAUUUAGGUCACCUAUUUAGAAAAUCCUAAUAAUAACCAACUGAUAUAGCAUAAAACAACCACAAAGUAACUCACAGACCACAUCAAUAAAUUUCAAACACACAGCAAAAAAAAACACAAGUAAAAAAGCAUAAUUCUUAAAUUAAAACAGAGAAAGCCGAAGAUAAUGUUGAAGCAAAGAUUCAUACCUGAAAUCAGUCUUCGAUGAAGCAGGGGUUACAAAAAUCGCAACAAAGAAACGGCAGAGAAAUAAUCCCACUGUAAUAUAAGUAAAAAAACAUUGAUAUGAAACCAAAAUAGAAAUGAAAAGGCAAAGACAGACAAAGACAAAGGUCAGGAUUCAUACCCCAAAAUUAGUCCCCGAUGAAGCAGGGGAUUUCAAAAACCACAAAAAACAGUGUAGCGAGUGUGUGUGUUUUGGCCUUUGGUUACCCAGAGCUAAAAAAAUGAGAGGAAAAAAAUUCAAAAGAGAUCGAGAGAGAGAAUCGAUAAAGAAAUGGGAGGAGAUUUGGGUUGAAGAGAUAUAUUUGAGGAUUUGUUAUGAAAGCAGAAGAAAUGAGGAAGAAAAUGAAAACAAAACAGGGAGACCGAGAGAGAUAGAAAGAAACGGCUAAUAAAUGGGUUUAUGAGGGGAAGGUGGCGAAAGUCUGGGUUUUCAUGGUAUUUAUAGAUCUAAUUGGGGAGGUCGCGCAAUAAACCCUAGAUUGCAACGGCGGCAUUUACCACUGGGACUAGAGAAUUGAAAUGGGCUGAAUUGCUUAAUAGUUGAAAACGGAUCGAACAGUUUUCUUGUCCUUUAAAAUUCCAGCUCUUCCUUUAUGGGCUGAGUUUAGAUUUUGGGCUUUUUCUUUCGUUUUUUUUUUCUAACAUGUGUGGUGUAGGGGUAUUAUUGCCAAUGCAAGAGUACGUAAGUUCGAGUGUGUUGAAACAUAUUAC
rnacentral:lncRNA from 1 species